GACGAACGCUGGCGGCGUGCUUAACACAUGCAAGUCGAACGGAAAGGCCCUGCUUUUGUGGGGUGCUCGAGUGGCGAACGGGUGAGUAACACGUGAGUAACCUGCCCUUGACUUUGGGAUAACUUCAGGAAACUGGGGCUAAUACCGGAUAGGAGCUCCUGCUGCAUGGUGGGGGUUGGAAAGUUUCGGCGGUUGGGGAUGGACUCGCGGCUUAUCAGCUUGUUGGUGGGGUAGUGGCUUACCAAGGCUUUGACGGGUAGCCGGCCUGAGAGGGUGACCGGCCACAAUGGGACUGAGAUACGGCCCAGACUCCUACGGGAGGCAGCAGUGGGGAGUAUUGCACAGUGGGCGGGAGCCUGAUGCAGCAACGCCGCGUGCGGGAUGACGGCCUUCGGGUUGUAAACCGCUUUCGCCUGUGACGAAGCGUGAGUGACGGUAAUGGGUAAAGAAGCACCGGCUAACUACGUG
rnacentral:rRNA from 1 species